CCCCCUCACCCCUCAGCUGUAACUGCUGUCUGCUGUGAUAUGAGACAGCUACAGCGCUGGAAUGAUGUAGCAGAUUUACUGAAGCUCUUGGGUUGGUAAUAAAUGGUCUCACCUCCAUACCACGCCUUGCAACCUCCUCUCCAUGUUUUAACCAGUGUUUAACAAGAAAGACCCCUGAUAACUCAUUUCCAUGAGUGCCACCAAAUAUAGCAACUUUACGCACAGGAUGGAUGGCAGUGCUGAAAGCCAUGACUUGAAAAUGCUACAACAGAGAGAAGUGUAAACACAGAAUGAAAGCAGGAAGAUUACCAUGAAAGCAGACGAUUCCUAAUAAGUCCUGAAAAGGUUUUCACUUCUGUGUUUUGUGAAAAUGUUUUACUUCUGCAUUUUAGUAAAAAUAAGUUGAGAAAACACAAAUAAAUUACCUGUUCAAUCUGUAAAAUGC